rnacentral:tRNA from 1 species
UGGAGGCGCCGGGAAUCGAUUCCGGUACAUCUCGCAUGCUAAGCGAGCGCUCUACCAUCUUAGCUACACCUCC